rnacentral:lncRNA from 1 species
CGGCCCCGCCGCCACCGCUCCCACGCCGCCACCUCACACUCGCCGCUGCCGCGCCGCUCCGCCUGCCGACUCUUCUCCCGCUUCUUUCUCGCCGCCUUCUCCUCCUCCGGCUCCGGCUCCGCGGCCGCUGCCGACCGCUCCCGCCGCCCCUCCGCUUCGCUGCAGCACCGCUCCGCACCGCGGGGACGCUCGCUCGCUCGCUCGCGGCCCGCCCGGACGCCGACCCAGCCAGCGAGCGAGCGAGCGAGCGAGCGAGCCGGGCCGCAGCGGGCGGGGCUGGCUGCAGCGCUCCGCUUCUUCCUCUCCUCCGUGGUGAACAGCGGCGCCCGCAGCCGCCGCCCGGCACUGCACGCACGGCUCCACUCAGCGCCGCCGCUGCCUCCAACGCGCCAACCGCCGGCACCCGCACAACCGCCCCACUCUGCACUCUCGCAGCAAUUUCAUGUUGUCGUCCGCAUUUAGCUUCCUGCAGUCCUUCUCUUCUUGCACGUGACGACACGAUCCUUUCUGUUCUUCCAUGGUGUUGCUGAUCAGAGAGAUAUCUGAGGGCUCCUCUGGUAAUCUUUAUUCUGGUGUGCUGGAUGUGUUGUCCUUGUUCUUUUCAUCUCUGUGUAGUUCUGAGUCUGCAUAAAGUCUGUCUCAAGCACCACUGCAGUCCUUCCUGAAACUGCAUUUUCCUCUGUAUUCUCCAUACAGUAUUUAAUAUUCUACGUAUGCUUAUAACUUGGUCUUUUCAUUUCAAUAUCAGUUUUCUAUGAGAUGCUGUUUCCUGGCGUCCAUCUCACUCGAAAAUAGAAUCUCUUGCCCAUCUCCAGCUGCUGCAGGAAGACACAGUCCCAAAUGAAACAUUCCCUGCUACCAAAGUGCUCCUAUUAACUGGCAGCUCCUCUUAGCACUCUGAGCUGGUUGUGCACCCACACUACAAUCCUUCUUCAGAGUAAGGAAGCAGAUGGUAUUAGCCUGCAUUUAGUUCCCUUAUAUCCUCCUCUUCUCGGAAUAUGAAAGUUCAUGUUUUCUUUUCUUCAAAGCAGUCCUUACCAGAGAGAACACACCUCUGUGCAUGUGUAUUUCCAAUGCAUGACAAAAUAAAUUGAAAACGGUGUCCUACA